UCUCCUUGCUUACCAUUAAAUAUAGGAUAGAGAAUGGUGUAAUUCUGCCGCUUAAAAUUCAGAAUGCAUGAGUUGUUGCCUUUAAUGGGCAGUUACUUCAUUAACCGUCAUUAAAAUUGAGUAAAUAGGUAAUUAGCGGGUGGUUAUUAUGCCUCAUAAUCUCAUGAAUAUGGGUAAUCAACAUCCAUGUUGAGUAACCAUCGUUCAACCCCUAUUCUC
rnacentral:lncRNA from 1 species